GACCUUAACAUUUGGCCUCUCUACCUAAAA
rnacentral:piRNA from 1 species